GGGUGGGCAUAAAAACCGCAAACUGCAUCGAAUCGUAUGAAAAAAACCAAAAAGAACCGUGUUGAUUGGAAAAGUUUGAAAAAUUAGUUUCACCAAGUUGCAAAGAAGUGGAUCCCAUCCCAAUUAGGGCUCACCCACCUCACCCUCACCUCACUCACGGCUUCACAUCCCCCAUUUCACACUUUUAGACUUUCAUUCUUUUUUCACUCAGCCAACCACCUCACUCACAGCCUCUCAUCAGCGAUUCCUCAGGCAGCCCACAACCUCAGCUCUUUGCGACAGCCCUCGUCAUCCCUCCUCCACGAAAGCUCACGACUCUUCGUCUUUCGUCCUCCCUCAGAGCUGCUGUUUGAAAAAGAAUCUGCCACUGCCAAGGACAUUUGGAUUUUUGUUUUUGCUUGUUGUUGUUGCCAAUAUCAAGAGACCAAUGCAUAUUUCCUUUAAUGCUCUUUGAAUAUUUCUUUUUGCUUGUUGUUGUUGUUGUUGCUGCCAAUGUCAGGAGACUAAUGCUGCUUUGAGUUCUUGAUUUUUUUGUAUGUUGACUGACCAAUGCAUAUUUCUUUUAAUUGUCUCUUUUUGUUGACUUGGUGUGACCAAAGACAUUUGCAUUAAAAAGUAUAUGUGUUGUAUGCAACUUCAUAUAAUCAGUUUUAGAAGAUGUAUUUGAAUGCAU